AUUGAACGCUGGCGGCAGGCCUAACACAUGCAAGUCGAGCGAGCGGCGGACGGGUGAGUAAUGUAUGGGGACUGCCCGAUAGAGGGGGAUAACUACUGGAAACGGUAGCUAAUACCGCAUAAUAUCGGAUAACACAUUUGGGAUUAGCUAGUAGGUGAGGUAAUGGCUCACCUAGGAGACGAUCACUAGCUGGUCUGAGAGGAUGAUCAGACACACGGGGACGUAGACACGGCCCAGACUCCUACGGAGGCAGCAGUGGGGAAUAUUGGACAAUGGGCGCAAGCCUGAUGCAGCCAUGCCGCGUGUAGGAAGAAGGCCCUAGGUUUGUAAAGUACUUUCAGGCGGGAGGCGUUACCGACAGAAGAAGCACCGGCUAACUCCGUGCCAGCAGCCGCGGUAAUAC
rnacentral:rRNA from 1 species